rnacentral:sRNA from 1 species
UUGCAGUCCGACGAUCAGAAACAGGCUUG